rnacentral:rRNA from 1 species
GACGAACGCUGGCGGCGUGCCUAAUACAUGCAAGUUGAGCGAUGAAGAUUGGUGCUUGCACCAAUUUGAAGAGCAGCGAACGGGUGAGUAACGCGUGGGGAAUCUGCCUUUGAGCGGGGGACAACAUUUGGAAACGAAUGCUAAUACCGCAUAACAACUUUAAACAUAAGUUUUAAGUUUGAAAGAUGCAAUUGCAUCACUCAAAGAUGAUCCCGCGUUGUAUUAGCUAGUUGGUGAGGUAAAGGCUCACCAAGGCGAUGAUACAUAGCCGACCUGAGAGGGUGAUCGGCCACAUUGGGACUGAGACACGGCCCAAACGCCUACGGGAGGCAGCAGUAGGGAAUCUUCGGCAAUGGACGAAAGUCUGACCGAGCAACGCCGCGUGAGUGAAGAAGGGUUUCGGAUCGUAAAACUCGGUUGGUAGAGAAGAACGUUGGUGAGAGUGGAAAGCUCAUCAAGUGACGGUAACUACCCAGAAAGGGACGGCUAACUACGUG